GUCCCCGUAGCUCAGCAGGAUAGAGCAUCAGAUUCCUAAUCUGAGGGUCGCAGGUUCGAAUCCUGCCGGGGACGCCA
rnacentral:tRNA from 2 species